UCUCAUCUGACCAUUCGUACUUUAAAUCUACCAAGAGAAAUAUUGAUACAAAUGAGUGGGAGAUUGGGUCUUCUCAACUUUGCCUCUCUUCCAUGGAAGCCACAAGCAAGGUCAGCGGCUUUAGACUCAAGAAAGAGACUGUGCUGGGUUAUUGUUGGCAAGAUUGAUCGUCGGAGCUUACGACCAUGCCGCUUUUAGGCUCUUGAGGUUUAAAGGCGAUUGUCAAAGGCGUUUGGGGGCCACCGUUUUCCCCCACAACAUCGGACUCGGAGCGACUAGCUUCUGAUUACAGGGUCGUAGGAGUAUUGAAGUUGCUUUGAUUAGAAUCUGUUUUGGUCUAAGAUCGGUUCUUCUAUUGGUGCCGUGCAGCGUGUAGAUUGCUAUUAAUGUGAUAACACUGUGGCUGUGAUAACACUGUGUGUGGUUUGGUCAGAAGAAUCGUAACCACAACUGAACUUGGAGUAAGGGCGAGUGGAGUUCACUGGGCAAUUGCUUCCUAUGAGGCUAGAUCCCAGAUGGGAACGAAGCUAUGACAGUUAUGGUUAAGAUGGUGGACUUGUCUGUGAGGUCAGCUCGCUUGUUUCGGGAGUAAAAGGCGUCCCACCCGAAGAACACCUAAUCGGUUACCAUUUUGUUGCAGAAACAAUGUGAUCGCAUGUGCAAAACACUUUGUUCGAAAUGAUGGUACCAAGAAGUAGACCUACCACCAGUAGAGUCAGCCGGAGAAGAUAAUGAUGCUUUGAGGGGAAGAUAUAUCACAAGAUUUACUGCUGUUAUCGUAUAUCAUAGUUGUAUGAUUGUUGACCGUAUCGACUUUCUCGCCUUCAUUUUCUCCAUCUCAAGUCUUAGAGCUGGAUCCAUCCGUCUUCGUCCAAUUUUUAAUAUCUUUUGAUUUUUGAUCCUUGUGUAUAAGUUUUUGUUUACAAUCUUUAUCUUCUCACGCUAGGUGCUUUUUCCACCAGCCGAUUUGCGGUGUCCACUACUGCCACUCCUUGGUAUGUAUAUGGUUUUCCCAAUAUUCAUUAGGCUGAAAAAGUAAAGUUAUGUACCUGGCAAGGCAUCUGUGGUGAUUGGAGAAACUAUCAACGUUUUCUUGACUUGGAUUCUUUGCUUUAGAUUUGGAAAUUAGAUGUUUGGAUGUUCUGACCUAGUUUACGAUUGUGUGAUACAUAUUUAUCUUACUGUAAAUCAUAUAAAACCUUAGCUGCCACUGUUGAUGCUAUUUGUGAGGAGAUAGCAAAUGAUCGUUUCCAAUCUUAUUUCAUAAAUUACGUAUG